ACUUUCCAUGAUGAAAAAAUCCAAAAUCAAAUGCCGAAAUGUAUUUAGGAAUUUAUUUUAUUAUAGUGGUUGAGGCACUUCCAAAUUGUUUUAAAAUUGUAAAUAUAUCAAUCAAAUAUUGUGUUUAACUAAUACUGAUAUAUAUAGUGGCAUUUCAUUUUAAUUACGGAAAAAGCGUGGCUCCGGGGGUUUUUAAUCGGAGAAUUUGCAAUUUUUAAACAGAGAAUACCAAGAUCCCUGAUGAUCACUUAUACCGAUUUUAUGUAUUAUUUCUGUCUGGGAAAACAUAUUGUGUUACCUUAGUGAAAUAUGAGAAAUCUGCAGAUAGUGUGAACAGCUAUCAUAUUUGGAGAGACUUAAGUAUAUGAACAAAGCAAGGAUGCAUGAUCAAUAAAGAAAGCCAGUGGCAAAUUAUUUCCUGAUAGGGAAAGGUCUUUGAUUUGAUCAGGCGGCCCAGGAUACGAAGCGUUCCCUUCCGACCUCCACAGACCACCUCCGUUCAUCGCACAGCAGGGAAAUGUUUUGAGAUGUGUGGAGUUACUUGGGAAAUUGGAUCUAGUGAGUAGGGACUGUCUCUGAAUGGCCUCGGAGAAAAUGCACGGUUGUCACCUGGGUCAAAGCAAACCAUUCAAAUUCUUGGAAACAGAUCGAGGGGGGAAAUAUUUCUGCCUCAAUCUUCCACAUGUUAUUCGGUUACUGGAGAGAUUCUUAGCUUCCCUGAUCCUACAGCUCAUGUAUUCUCCAGCCCCACCUAAUGCACCGCAGCCAGCCUCCCUCCCACGCCAUGCAUGGCCCUUCACUCGGUCUCCCUCGUGAUCCUCUUGCCAGGCCUGCGGCAGGCUCCCGGGCUAACCCAGCACAGCGCCAUGAUGGAAGUAGCAGAGCCAUGUUCUUCCGAGCUCCCUCUCGGUGCCGAGCUAAGGUGGCUCUGCUGCUUCCAGUUUGGGAGCUGGGACACGUAGAGCGUCCUGAUGUCACUGCCUGGCCUGGGGUUCGAGACAGGGCUCAGUUGUUGCAGUGAUGUGUUUGAUGUGGUUCAAUGAUUGUUCAGUUCUUUUGCUAUCUUAGCACAGCACUGGGGUGCAGCACGUGGCCACAAACAAGAUGGAAAAGGCAGCUCAAUGCAAUCCAAGUAUUUCAAUACUGUACUGCCUUUCAGGAGCUGAUGAUGCUUUACACUUGAGUAGCCGGUGAUUCGCACCUAAAGGGACCCUGGGAAACCCAAACUUGGAGUGAUACUGAAUAGCUGACUCGCCUGAUGUGCAACUAUAAAUCCCCAUGCAGUGCAAUGGUAGUAUGACAGAGUUUACGCAGCUCACAGUGCGAGUCAAAAGCUCUGAGAAACAAGGAUAUGUCAAGCAAAUGAUGCAUCAGCUAAAAGUCUUGGAGGAUUUUCCGGAAAAUAAUUGUUCUGAUACUAAGUGUCCUGACUGGGGCUACGGAGUUGGCAGAUCAGCUGGACCGUCAAGCUCAUUCCCUACAGGAAUGCAAACUAAAAGGUAGAAGGGCCGGUUUAGGGGCCACAGAUGAUCCCUUCAAUAAUCCAGGAAAGAACUGCAAAGUUGUUGUUUUCUAUUUUGUGUUGGAUCCUGGUGCACACCUGCCUAAAGAUUUUCACAACACCACGGGUACUGUUGGCUGUGCAGCUUUUUGCAUAAUCCCUGAAACAUCCCAGAUGCCCCACAAAGGAUUACAACAGCAGUGCAUUGUUUUAAGCAAAGCAUUGGAAGAUGGGACAGGCAGGUGAAGAGAGAUCCUCUGACAUAAAUGGGCUGGAUCUUUGCAACGAACUUCACGCUCUUGGCAGGCAUUUAAAACUGCAGGACACCCAAAAGCCACGUUGGAUUUUAUGGGCAAAAGAGCUGCUGCGAGGUGGAAAGUUUGCAGGGGUUUCAACAAGCAGCCGUUGAACAGGAGCAAGAUGAAAACGCCUCCAACACCAGUCAAUGUUUCCAAUCACAGUCUCAGACCGGUAAAUGCCGCAUUGAGAUGCUGACGUUGUAGGGCAGUGACCGUGCCAGCUCCCUGGCCGGCUGCAGCGUGGUGAAGUGCUUCGUAACGAGCUGCGUACCAGCUCUGGCUGGCCUCUAGCAAGGGUUCCUUUGGGCCUGGGUGUCGGGUGGUUUUGCCCCCCCACAAUGUGCAGUGGCAGCUAAUGUGAGGAGAACGGCCCCUGCUUUACCCUAGCCCGGCUCCCCACCUAUUGGGAGCAACACCCUGGGAGGAGAGGGGACAGUGGUGUGAAACCAGCUCCUGCUCUGCCAUUUUCCUCUCUCUGAGCAGCGAAUGGUGAAUGACAGGGUGUGCCGGGAGUGUUCCCGUUUAGGGGUAGAAGAGGCCAGUGCAGCUGAGCGGUGUGAUUCUCUUGCUCAAGCAGCAGGCAGGCAGGGGAAUAUAAUUC